CCUACGGGCGGCUGCAGUCGAGAAUCUUCGGCAAUGGGCGCAAGCCUGACCGAGCGACGCCGCGUGGAGGACGAAGGCCCUCGGGUUGUAAACUCCUGUUGGGGGGGAACAAGGGCCGGCGCAGAGCCGGCCUUGAGUGAUCCCCCGAGGAAGCACGGGCUAAGUUCGUGCCAGCAGCCGCGGUAAGACGAACCGUGCGAACGUUAUCCGGAAUCAUUGGGCUUAAAGGGCGCGUAGACGGGCGAUCGCGUCGACGGCUGAAAUCCCCCGGCUCA
rnacentral:rRNA from 1 species